rnacentral:lncRNA from 1 species
CUUCAUUUCAACACUGGAGUUGCAUUAUCGUUCAUAAGAUGUUCACAAGUACAGAUGACUCAAUCCAACUGGCAACAUUUUCUGAUUUUGUUUUUUUUUAGGUUCCAUUUCACUGUGUGCAAGUGCUGCUGAAGGAUUAUUGUGUAGGUGGAAUUACUUAAAGGUAUUGCCAACAACAGUAGAUCACACACUGGGGAAGCAGAGGACUUCUUGCUCCACCAGAAAAUUUUCCAAGUUUCUACCUCCUUACUGUAAAUUGGGUAUUGAUGCCUUGUCUCACACACAGUCAGACACCCCCACAGAGAUUCUGAAGCAGUGUUUAUUGAUACACACUCUAAGGAGAAAGCUGCAUUGCUAUUUCACAUUCUGUCUGCUAAACUGGUACUGGGUUUUCCAGUCAUGCCCACACAUGUAUGCCUGUGUUCUGAACCCCACCAAUAAGGAGCUGACUUCCCCUACCUGUUGGUGA